rnacentral:rRNA from 1 species
AGAUUGAACGCUGGCGGCAGGCCUAACACAUGCAAGUCGAACGGUAACAGCAGAGCUUGCUCUGGCUGACGAGUGGCGGACGGGUGAGUAACGCAUGGGAAUCUACCUUGUAGUGGGGGAUAACUUGGGGAAACUCAAGCUAAUACCGCAUAACCUACGGGAGAAAGAGGGCCUAUACUUGUAAGCUCUUGCUAUUGGAUGAGCCUAUGUCGGAUUAGUUAGUUGGUGAGGUAAUGGCUUACCAAGACUACAAUCCGUAGCUGGUUUGAGAGGAUGAUCAGCCACACUGGGACUGAGACACGGCCCAGACUCCUACGGGAGGCAGCAGUAGGGAGUAUUGGACAAUGGGCGCAAGCCUGAUCCAGCAAUGCCGCGUGUGUGAAGAAGGCCUGCGGGUUGUAAAGCACUUUCAAUUGGAAGAAAGAUUUAGAGUUAAUACCUCUUAAUAUUGACGUUACCAAUAGAAGAAGCACCGGCUAACUCUGUGCCAGCAGCCGCGGUAAUACAGAGGGUGCGAGCGUUAAUCGGAAUUACUGGGCGUAAAGAGUACGUAGGUGGUUAAAUCAGUCGGAUGUGAAAGCCCCGGGCUCAACCUGGGAACUGCAUUUGAAACUGGUUAACUAGAGUGUGGUAGAGGAGAGUGGAAUUUCAGGUGUAGCGGUGAAAUGCGUAGAGAUCUGAAGGAACACCAGUGGCGAAGGCGGCUCUCUGGACCAACACUGACGCUGAGGUGCGAAAGCGUGGGUAGCAAACGGGAUUAGAUACCCCGGUAGUCCACGCCGUAAACGAUGUCAACUAACUGUUGGACGGGUUACCGUUUAGUGGUGCAGCUAACGCAAUAAGUUGACCGCCUGGGGAGUACGGCCGCAAGGCUAAAACUCAAAUGAAUUGACGGGGGCCCGCACAAGCGGUGGAGCAUGUGGUUUAAUUCGAUGCAACGCGAAGAACCUUACCUACCCUUGACAUCCAGAGAAUCUGUUAGAGAUAGUAGAGUGCCUUCGGGAAUUCUGUGACAGGUGCUGCAUGGCUGUCGUCAGCUCGUGUCGUGAGAUGUUGGGUUAAGUCCCGUAACGAGCGCAACCCUUAUCCUUAUUUGCCAGCACGUCAUGGUGGGAACUCUAAGGAGACUGCCGGUGACAAACCGGAGGAAGGUGGGGACGACGUCAAGUCAUCAUGGCCCUUACGACCUGGGCUACACACGUGCUACAAUGGGAGGUACAGAGGGAAGCGAAGCCGCGAGGUGAAGCUAAUCCCAGAAAACCUUUCGUAGUCCGGAUUGGAGUCUGCAACUCGACUCCAUGAAGUUGGAAUCGCUAGUAAUCGUGAAUCAGAAUGUCGCGGUGAAUACGUUCCCGGGCCUUGUACACACCGCCCGUCACACCAUGGGAGUGGAUUGCAAAAGAAGUGGGUAGACUAACCUUCGGGAGGUCGCUCACCACUUUGUGAUUCAUGACUGGGGUGAAGUCGUAACAAGGUAGCC